AGCCAAUUAACAGGUAAAUAUGAUAAAAGAGUUUAAAAUACCGCUCGGCAUAUACAAUAAUAACACUCUCGACUGAACAUAGCACUCCCAAAACCCGAAAUCUCAUGAAUCACAAGAUAAAUAAAAAUACAUAGUAUUCUAAUUCCAGACGUCUAAACAAUGGAAAAUACAAGAAGUCUAUAACUGAAAGGAGAAUAGAGAGGGACUUCUAGGUCUGCGGACGUGACAGAUAUACCUCGAAGUCUCUGGAUCGCCUCGCCUUAUGGAUAGUAUGGCUGAGCAGAAGAACCUGGAUCUGCACACGAAAAACAUGUGCAGGAAAGGGCAUGAGUAUACAACAGCGGUACCCAGUAAGUGCCAAGCUUAACUUUGGUCGAGUAGUAACGAGAUCAGGUCAGGGCCCUACAGGUUAUAUAUACAUAACAAGGUAAAACCGUAUGAAAAAUGACAGUAUAAUUAAGAUAUUAACAAUCAAUAAAGAAGAAAUCACAGAAAAAAAUAACUCAGUACACAAAGAUAGCAACAAGGGAUCUCUCAGGAUAAUGUCCCGUAGUCCCAAACGUAAAUGUACAGAGGAUCUCCCAGGAUACCAUCCUGUAUUACAAAUCAUAAAUGUGCAUGGGGAUCUCCCGGAAUAUCGUUUCGUAGUCCCAAGUAAAUAUCCAGUACGAGGGGAUCUCCCGGGAUACCAUCCCGUAGUCCCAAAUAUAAAUGUGCAGGGGGAUCUCCUGGAAUACCGUUCCGUAGUCCCAAGGCAAAUACUCAAUCAAAUCAAUAUACACAACAGUCUCAAGGAGGAAGUCUAUAGUUCUAUUUAAGUUUGUAUUAAAUAAACAGGUAAUUUCUACCCUAAACAUGCUACACAGAAUCCAAGUAAGCAAUUAAAGCAGGUAAGACAGUUAAGUCACGUAAGCAUGCUUUCCUAAGCUAAACAAGAGGCUUCAUAUACUGGUAUUUGCUCUAUUUAAAGAAAAACAUAGAUACUUGCUUAAUGAAAACGGGGAUUUUCAACAAUUAGCACAUGUACGCACUCGUCACCUCACGUACACGACAUUCAUAUAACAACAGUACCAAAAUCAUAAAUGAAGUUUUCCUACACAAGGUUAGACAAGCCACUUACCUCGAACCAAGCUCAAAUCAAUCCGAUAUCAUGUUCCUGCCAUGAGUAUCCAACUCCGAGUGGUCCAAAUCUAAUCAAAUCAAUUACAUAACGUAAAUAAAACUACAAGCAACUAGUUUAGCUAAUGAAUUUAAAGCUAAGACGAGAAAAUAGGAAAAUGCCCAAAAAUUCUCCUCGAGCCCACAUCUCGAAAUCAGGUAAAAGUCAUAAAUUAUGAACACCCAUUCACCCACGAGUUUAACCAUACCAAAUUCACAAUUAAAAUCCCAAAAUUAGGCCUAAGAAUUUUUCUCAAUUUUCCCCAAUUUUUCAUCUUAAGCCCGAAAUUAAAUGAUGAAUUCAUAUCUAGAUUAAUGGGAUAUAAUAAAAAAAUAGUUAGGAAUCAUUACCCACAAACUUCCUCCGAAAAUCUCUCCAAAUUUCGCCUUCUACCGAGCUCUCAAUCAAUUUUUGAAGUUAUGAACUCAAACCCUCGUUUUUGAACUUUAAAUUCUACCUAGAUGCAUUCUUCUUUGUGAACGCGAGACUACCAUCGCGAACGUAAUGAACAAAAUUCCAUUGCCCCAAAUUCCUCCUUCGCGAAUGCGAGGGUCCUCUCACGAACGCGUAGCUUACACUGGUGGACCCUUCGCGAACGAGAGGACCAUGUCGCGAACGCGUAGGCUUAAGGUCCACACCUUCUCGAAUACAGAAGCAUCACCACGAACGCAAAAUACAACUUAGCUGCCUCUCCCAGAUGCUAUACGCGAACGCGAGACCCCUCUCGCGAACGCAAUGAAGGAUUCUUCUGCAACAAAACACCAGAAAAUCUGCCACUUCUAUAAGUCCAAAAAUGACCCGUUGAGUAUCCGAAACAUACCCGAGGCCCCCGGGACCUCAACCAAACAUACCAACCAAUCCUAAAACAUCAUACGAACUUAUUGAACCAUCAAAUCACAUAGAACAAUGCUAAAAUCACGAAUCACCCUCCAAUCCAAACUUAAUGAACUUAAAAUCUAAAAAUUCUACAAUUGAUGCUGAAACCAACAAAACUACGUUCGAUUGACCCCAAAUUUUGCACUUAAGUCAUAUUCAACACUAUGGAUCAAUUCCAACUUUCGGAAUCAGAUUCCAACCCCGAUAUCAAAAUUUCCACUAUCGGCCCGAAAUUCUAAAAAUUCAACUUUCGCCAUUCAAGCCUAAAUAAGCUAUGCACCUCCAAAACACAAUCCGUACACGCCCCUAAUCCCGAAAUCACCCAAUGGAGCUAACAAAAUCGACGGAAUUCCAUUCCAAAGUCGUCUUCACACUGCUCCGAUUAUGGUCCAAAUUCUAAGACUUAAACUCUCAUUUAGGGACUAAGUGUCCCAAAACACUCCGAAACUGAAGAUGAACCAUCCCGGCAAACCACAAUAGCAAAAAAAGACACGGGAAAAAUAGUAAUAGGGGAUCAGGGUAUUAAUUCUCAAAACGACCGGCCAGGUCGUUACAUCCUCCCCCUCUUAAAACAUUCGUUCAUCCUCGAACGAGCAUAGAUUCAUACCUGAAGUGGUGAAAAGAUGAGGGUAACGACUGCGCAUAUCCUGCUCGAUCUCCCAAGUCGCAUCCUUGAUCGGCUGACCCCGCCACUAAACGUUUACUGAUGCAAUAUUCUUUAACCUCAGCAUUCAAACCUACUAGCCACUGGCUCAACAUAAGAUAGAUCCUUGUCCAACUGGACUGAGCUAAAAUCCAACACGUGCGACGGAUCAUCAUGAUACCUCCGGAGCAUCAAAACAUGAAAUACCAGAUUAACUACUGCCAAGCUGGGAGGUAAGGCAAGCUCAUAAGCAAUCUUUCCAACACGUCGUAACACCUCAAAGGGACCAAUAAACAUUGGGCUCAACUUGCUCUUAUUCCAAAAUCUCAUAGUGCCCUUCAUAGGCGAACCUGAAGCAAGACCCGCUCUCCAACCAUAAAUGAAAUAUCGCGAUCCUUCCAGUCCGCAUAACUCUUUUGUCUGGACUGGGCUAUGUGGAGUCUAUCUUGAAUCACCUUAACCUUCUCCAAAGCGUCCUGAACCAAGUCUGUGCCCAAUAAUCUAGCCUCGCCCGGCUCGAACCAACCCACCGGGGACCUACACCGCCUACCAUACAGAGCCUCAUACGGUGCGAUUUGAAUGUUGGACUGGUAACUAUUGUUGUAGGCAAACUCCGCAAGUGGCAAGAAUUGAUCCCAGAAACCUCCAAACUCCAUCACACAUGCACAGAGUAUAUCGUCAAGAAUCUGAAUAGUGCGCUUGGAUUGUCCGUCCGUCUGAGGGUGAAAUGAUGUGCUCAGCUCUACCCGAUACCCAACUCAUGCUGAACGUCCCUCCAAAAUUGUGAUGUGAACUGAUUAUCUCUAUCUGAAAUGAUGGAAACUGGAAUACCAUAUGCGAACAAUCACCCGGAUAUAAAUCUCAACCAACCUCUUUGAAGAAUAAGUGGUACAUACUUGGUCAGCCAAUCUACAAUCACCCAAAUGGCAUUGAACUUCCUCAAAGUUCGUGGGAGUCCAACUACGAAGUCCAUGUUGAUCCGUUCUUACUUCCACUCCGGAAUUUCUAUCUGCUGAAGCAAGCCACCUGGUCUCUAGUGCUCAUACAUCACCUGCUGAAAAUUGAGGCACCGAGCUACAAACCCAACUAUAUCUUCCUUCAUCUGCCUCCACCAAUAGUGCUGCCUCAAAUCCUGGUACAUCUUCGCGGCACCCGGAUGAAUUGAAUACCACGAACUGUGGGCCUCCUCUAGAAUCAACUCCCGAAGCCCAUCAAUAUUGGGUACACAAAUCUGACCCUGCAUGCUCAAUACCCCGUCAUCACCAAUGGUCAUAUCUCUAGCAUCACUCUGUAGAACAUUGUCCUUGAGGACAAGCAAAUGGGGGUCAUCAUACUGAUGCUCCCUGAUACGAUCAAACAAAGAAGACAGAGAAACCACACAAGCUAGGACCCGACUAGGUUCCAAAAUAUCCAACCUCACAAACUGGUGGGCUAAGGCGUGAACAUCCAUCGCCAUGGGCCUCUCUACUGCCGGUAGAUAACCCAAACUCCCCAAACUCUCCGGCCGGCGACUCAAAGCAUCGGCUACCACAUUGGCCUUCCCCGGGUGGUAUAAAAUAGGGAUAUCAUAAUCCUUAAGCAACUUUAACCACCUCCUCUGACGCAAAUUAAGGUCCUUCUGCUUGAACAAAUGUUGCAAACUCCGAUGAUCAGUGUAGAUCUCACAAGGAACACCAUACAAAUAAUGAUGCCAGAUCUUCAAGGCAUGAACAAUAGUAGCUAACUCGAGAUCAUGGACAUGAUAAUCCUUAUCAUGCACCUUCAGUUGUCUGGACGUGUAGGCAAUCACCCUACCGUCUUGCAUCAGUAACGCUCCAAGGCCAAUCCUUGAGGCAUCACAAUAGACAGUAUAAGAUCCCAAACCUUUAGGCAAUAUCAAUAUUGGGGCUAUAGUCAAAGCUGUCUUGAGCUUCUGAAUGCUCUCCUCACAUUCUUCCAUCCACCUGAACGGAGCACCCUUCUAGGUCAGCCUGGUCAUAGGUGUUGUAAUAGAUGAAAGUCCCUCAACAAAUCGAUGGUAAUAACCCGCAAAGCCAAGAAAACUACGGAUCUUUGUAGCUGAGGAUGGUCUGGGCCAACUCUGCACUACUUCCACUUUCUUCGGAUUCACCUUGAUCCCUUCACUCGAUACCACAUGACCUAAGAAUGCCACGGAAUCCAACCAGAACUCACAUUUCGAGAACUUUGCAUAUAAUUUCUUUUCUCUCAAAGUCCGAAGCACUGUCCUCAAGUGCUGCUCAUUAUCCUCCCGACUCCGGGAGUAUACCAAAAUAUCAUCAAUAAAUACAAUGACAAACAAGUCAAGAUAUGACCGGAAUACACUGUGCAUCAAAUGCAUAAAUGCUGCUAGGGAAUUGGCCAACCCAAAUGACAUAACAAGGAACUCGUAAUGACCAUACCGAGUCCUAAAAAUAGUCUUCGGGAUAUUUGGAUCCCGAAUCUUCUACUGAUGAUAACCUGAUUUCAAGUCAAUCUUAGAAAACAAUUGAGCACCCUGUAACUGAUCAAACAGGUCAUCAAUACGAGGCAAAGGAUACCGAUUCUUCACUGUAACUUUGUUCAACUGGCGAUAAUCAAUGCACAUACGCAUAUAACUAUCCUUUUUCUUCACAAACAAGAUAGGAGCACCCCAAGGUGACACACUGGGCCGAAUAAAGCCCUUAUCAAGCAAUUCUUGUAACUGCUCCUUCAACUCAGGAGGAGCCAUAUGAUAAAAAGGAGUAGAAAUGGGCUGAGUGCCCAACAACAAAUCAAUGCCGAAAUCAAUAUCUCUGUCGGGUGGCAUACCCGGAAGAUCAGCUGGAAACACAUUAGUAAAUCCCUCACUAUUGGGACUGAAUCAACUGUAGGGGUAUCAAUACUGACAUCUCUUGCAUAGGCUAGAUACGCGUCACACCCCUUCUCAACCAUUCCCUGAGCCUUAAGAAAUGAAAUAACUCUAUUGUGAGUGUGAUCUAAAGUACCUCUCGACUCUAGUCACAGUAUACCUGGCAUAGCCAGCGUCACGGUUUUGGCAUGACAAUCAAGAAUAGCAUAAUGGGGCGACAACCAGUCCAUGCCUAAGAUAACAUCAAAAUCUACCAUGCCGAGCAAUAAUAAUCGGCUCUGGUCUCAAAACCACUAAGAGCAAUCAAACAUAACCGAUAAAUGCGGUCCACAACAAGAGAAUCUCCCACAAGAGUAGAAACAUAAAUAGGGGAACUCAAAGAAUCUUGAGAUACGCCCAAAUGCAGGGCAAAAUAAGAGGACACAUAAGAAUAAGUGGAGCCUGGAUUGAAUAGAACCGAUGCAUCUCUAUGACAGAUCGGAACAAUACCUGUGAUGCCAGAAUCGGAGGCAACAACCUCAGUAUGGGCAGGAAGAGCAUAGUAUUUGUCCUGGACUCCCCCUAUAAGGCGACCUCUACCUCGAGCUGGCUGAGCAGAUAGGGUUGCAACUGGUGCUGUAAUCAUAGCCUGAAAUCUCUGCGGAGCACGCUGUGGCUGGGAAGGCUAUGGAGGUGCACCCCUCCUAAGUCUAGGACAAUCUCUCACUAUAUGGCGUGUGUCGCCACACUCAAAACAAGCUUUAGGAGGGCGUGGUGGCUGUGACUGGCUCGAACCAGGUCUGCUGGACUGACCACUGAUGGAACCUCGUGCAGGAGGCACACUAGAUACUGGAGGUGUAUAAUAAGGCUCCUGAGGUCUAGGCGGAGCUGGAAUACCACUGGAUGCUAGAAGAGCUGAAUGAAGGGACGACUCACAUAACCCCUACCAUGACGAACUACAGCUAGGGCACGGGCACCAAAAUAAUGGCCCGACUCUCGAGACCUCUUGGCCUCUCUCUCCUCCCUAUCCCGAGAAAGCAUGCCCUCUACUUUCCUAGCAAUUCUCACCACCUACUGAUAAGCAAUAUCCAUCUCCAACUCCCAGGUCAUGCUAGACUUGAUGCUGGGAAUGAGCCCCUCAAUAAACCGGCGAACUUUCUCACGAACUGUAGAAACCAAAGCCGGUGCAUGUCUAGCCAAGUUAGUGAAACAGACAGCAUACUCCAAAAUAAUCAUAGUACCCUGGCGCAAAUGCUCAAAUUCUGCACGCCAUGCAUCCCUAAGGAUCUGAGGAACACACUCCCUCAAAAACAUAUCUGAAAACUGGGUACAUGUAAGAGAAGCUGCCUCAACCGGACUGUCCAACUCAAAGGCAUGCCACCACUAAUAGGCUGCUCCUCAAAGCUGGAAGGUAGUGAAAGAAACCCCAUUCGAUCCUGAUAUACCCAUAGUGCGAAGGAUACGGUAGCACUCCUCCAGAAAUCCCUGAGCAUCCUCUGAUGCUAGACCACUGAAUGUAGGAGGCUUAUACUUCUUGAACCUCUCAAGCUUCCGCUGCUCAUCCUCUGAAGCUGCUUCCUUAUCCUCGGGCUGAACUGGGGCUACAUGCGGUACUGGUAUAACCUCUGGGAUCUGAUCAACUUGAAUCCGCUACUCUGGGGUGCGGGCGGCAGGAGUCUGUGCUCCUCCCCCAGACUGAGAUGUGGCUGCAGCAAGGGAAAUCAACCCUACCUGAGCUAGAGUGGUAUACAUGCUCAUGAACUGUGCAAGGGUUUCCUGGAGAGCUAGAGUAGUAGUAACAGUAGGCGUAUCAGGCGCCUGGGCUCCGGCUGGAGCUACUGGCAGCUCAGUUGUAGCAGCUCGCGUGGGUGUUCUGGUUGCACCACGUGCGUGUCCUCGUCCUCUACCUCGGCCCCAGCCUCUGACGACUCUAGCAGGCGGCACGGGUGCCUGGUCAUCUCCAGUAGCACGUGUCCUCACUAUCUAUGAGAGAAUAGAAGACAAAGGUUUAGAAUUUGAUAUCAAUAACCUCGCCGACAAGGGAUCAAAUGAAGUGGAAUUUUUCCUAAUAGUUACAUAGCCUCUCAAAGAUAAAUACAGACGUCUCCGUACCGAUCUGCGAGACUUUAAAAACCGGCUUGUGAUUCAUGACUCCUAUGAACAUAGAGCUCUGAUACCAACUUGUCACGACCCAAGUUCUCCCUCCAUGAACGGUCGUAACGACACUUAGUCUCUACGCCUAGGUAAGCUUAAUCAAUUUUGGGAAAAAUGAAUUAAGGUUACAAAACUAGCCAAUUAAUAGGUAAAUAUGAUAAAAAGUUUAAAAUGCCGCUCGAUAUAUACAAUAAUAACACUCUCGACUGAACAUAGCACUCCCAAAACCCGAAAUCUCAUGAAUCACAAACUAAAGAAAAAUACAGAGUGUUCUCACUCCAGAAGUCUAAACAAAGUAAAAUACAAGAAAUCUAUAACUGAAGGGAGAAUAGAGAGGGACUUCUAGGUCUGCGGACGCGGCAGAUAUAACUCGAAGUCUUUGGAUCACCUCGCCUCAAGGAUAGUAUGGCUGAGCAGAAGAACCUGGAUCUGCACACGAAAAACAUGUGCAGGAAAGGGCAUGAGUACACCACAACGGUACCCAGUAAGUGACAAGCCCAACCUCGGUCGAGUAGUGACGAGAUCAGGUCAAGAACCUAUAGAUUAUAUAUAUAUAUAUAUAUAUAUAUAUACAUACAUACAUAACAAGGUAAAAUAGUAUGAAAGGUUAUAGUAUAAUUAAGAUACUAUCAGUCAAUAAAGAUGAAAUCACAGAAAGAAAUAACUCGGUACAAAGAGAUAGCAGCAGGGGAUCUCCCAGGAUAAUGUCCCGUAUUCCUAAACGUAAAUGUACAGAGGAUCUUCCAGGAUACCUUCCCGUAGUUCAAAUCAUAAAUGUGCAAGGGGAUUUCCCGGAAUACCAUUCCGUAAUCCCAAGUAAAUAUCGAGUACAGGGGGAUCUCCCGGGAUACCGUCUCGUAGUCCCAAAUAUAAAUGUGUAGGGGAAUAUCGUUCCGUAGUCCCAAAGUAAAUACUCAAUCAAAUCAAUAUAUACAACAGUCUCAAGAAGGAAGUCUACAGUUCAAGUUUGUAUCAAAUAAAUGGGUAAUUUCUACCCUAAACAUAAUACACAGAAUCCAAGUAAACAAUUAAAGCAGGUAAGACAGUUAAGUCACGUAAGCAUGCUUUACUAAGCUAAAUAGGAGGCUUCAUACACCGGUAUUGCUCAAUUUAAAGGAAAACAUAGAUAUUUGCUUAAUGAAAAUGAGGGUUUUCAACAAUUAGCACAUGUACGCACUCGUCACCUUACGUACACGCCAUUCAUAUAACAACAGUACCAAAAUCCUAAGGAGAUUUCCCCCACACAAGGUUAGGCAAGCCACUUACCAUGAACCAAGCUAAAAUCAAUCCUAGGUAAGCCUAAUCAAUUUUGGGAAAAAUGAAUUAAGGUUACAAAACUAGACAAUUAACAGGUAAAUAUGAUAAAAAGUUUAAAAUGCCGCUCGGCAUAUACAAUAAUAACACUCUCGACUGAACAUAACACUCCCAAAACCCGAAAUCUUAUAAAUCACAAACUAAAGAAAAAUACAGAGUGUUCUCACUCCAGAAGUCUAAACAAAGUAAAAUACAAGAAGUCUAUAACUGAAGGGAGAAUGGAGAGGGAAUUCUAGGUCUGCGGACGUGGCAGAUAUAACUCGAAGUCUUUGGAUCACCUCGCCUCAAGGAUAGUAUGGCUGAGCAGAAGAACUUGGAUCUGCACACGAAAAACAUGUGCAGGAAAGGGCAUGGUUACACCACAACGGUACCCAGUAAGUGCCAAGCCCAACCUCGGUCGAGUAGUGACGAGAUUAGGUCAGGGCCCUAUAGAUUAUAUAUAUAUAUAUAUCAGUCAAUAAAGAUGAAAUCACAGAAAGAAAUAACUCGGUACAAAGAGAUAGCAGCAGGGGAUCUCCCAGGAUAACGUCCCGUAUUCCUAAACGUAAAUGUACAGAGGAUCUUCCAGGAUACCUUCCCGUAAUUCAAAUCAUAAAUGUGCAAGGGGAUUUCCCGGAAUACCAUUCCGUAAUUCCAAGUAAAUAUCGAGUACAGGGGGAUCUCCCGGGAUACCGUCUCGUAGUCCCAAAUAUAAAUGUGCAGGGGAAUAUCCUGGAAUAUCGUUCCGUAGUCCCAAAGUAAAUAUUCAAUCAAAUCAAUAUAUACAACAGUCUCAAGAAGGAAGUCUACAGUUCAAGUUUGUAUCAAAUAAAUAGGUAAUUUCUACCCUAAACAUAAUACACAGAAUCCAAGUAAACAAUUAAAGCAGGUAAGACAGUUAAGUCACGUAAGCAUGCUUUCCUAAGCUAAAUAGGAAGCUUCAUAUACUGGUAUUGCUCAAUUUAAAGGAAACCAUAGAUAUUUGCUUAAUGAAAAUGGGGGUUUUCAACAAUUAGCACAGGUACGCACUCGUCACCUUACGUACACGGCAUUCAUAUAACAACAGUACCAAAAUCCUAAGGAGAUUUCCCCCACACAAGGUUAGGCAAGCCACUUACCACGAACCAAGCUAAAAUCAAUCCUAGGUAAGCCUAAUCAAUUUUGGGAAAAAUGAAUUAAGGUUACAAAACUAGCCAAUUAACAGGUAAAUAUGAUAAAAAGUUUAAAAUGCCGCUCGGCAUAUACAAUAAUAACACUCUCGACUGAACAUAGCACUCCCAAAACCCGAAAUCUCAUGAAUCACAAACUAAAGAAAAAUACAGAGUGUUCUCACUCCAGAAGUCUAAACAAAGUAAAAUACAAGAAGUCUAUAACUGAAGGGAGAAUAGAGAGGGAAUUCUAGGUCUGCGGACGUGGCAUAUAUAACUCGUAGUCUUUGGAUCACCUCGCCUCAAGGAUAGUAUGGCUGAGCAGAAGAACCUGGAUCUGUACACGAAAAACAUGUGCAGGAAAGGGCAUGGGUACACCACAACGGUACCCAGUAAGUGCCAAGCCCAACCUCGGUCGAGUAGUGACGAGAUUAGGUCAGGGCCCUAUAGAUUAUAUAUAUAUAUAUAUAACAAGGUAAAAUAGUAUGAAAGGUGAUAGUAUAAUUAAGAUACUAUCAGUCAAUAAAGAUGAAAUCACAGAAAGAAAUAACUCGGUACAAAGAGAUAGCAGCAGGGGAUCUCCCAGGAUAACGUCCCGUAUUCCUAAACGUAAAUGUACAGAGGAUCUUCCAGGAUACCUUCCCGUAAUUCAAAUCAUAAAUGUGCAAGGGGAUUUCCCGGAAUACCAUUCCGUAAUUCCAAGUAAAUAUCGAGUACAGGGGGAUCUCCCGGGAUAUCGUCUCGUAGUCCCAAAUAUAAAUGUGUAGGGGAAUAUCGUUCCGUAGUCCCAAAGUAAAUACUCAAUCAAAUCAAUAUAUACAACAGUCUCAAGAAGGAAGUCUACAGUUCAAGUUUGUAUCAAAUAAAUAGGUAAUUUCUACCCUAAACAUAAUACACAGAAUCUAAGUAAACAAUUAAAGCAGGUAAGACAGUUAAGUCACGUAAGCAUGCUUUCCUAAGCUAAAUAGGAAGCUUCAUAUACGGGUAUUGCUCCAUUUAAAGGAAACCAUAGAUAUUUGCUUAAUGAAAAUGGGGGUUUUCAACAAUUAGCACAUGUACGCACUCGUCACCUUACGUACACGGCAUUCAUAUAACAACAAUACCAAAAUCCUAAGGAGAUUUCCCCCACACAAGGUUAGGCAAGCCACUUACCACGAACCAAGCAAAAAUCAAUCUGAUAUCACGCCCUUGCCAUGAGUAUCCAACUCCGAGUGGCCCAAAUCUAAUCAAAUCAAUUACAUAACGUAAAUAAAACUACAAGCAACUAGUUUAGCUAAUGAAUUUAAAGCUAAGAUGAAAAAAUAGGAAAAUGCCCAAAAAUCCUCCCCGGGCCCACGUCUCGGAAUCGGGUAAAAGUCACAAAUUAUGAACAUCCAUUCACCUAUGAGUCUAACCAUACCAAAUUCACUCAAAUCUGGUACCAAAAUCUCGAUCAAAAUCCCAAAAUUAUGCCUAAGAACUUUUCUCAAUUCUCCCAAAUUUUUCAUCCCAAAUCCGAAAUUAAAUGAUAAAUUCAUGUUUAGAUUAAUGGGAUAUAAUAAAAAAAGAAUUAGGAAUCAUUACCCACAAACUUCCUCCGAAAAUCUCCAAAUUUUGCCUUCAACCGAGCUCUCAAUCAAUUUUUAAAGUUAUGAAUUCAAACCCUCAUUUUUGAACUUUAAAUUCUGCCCAGAUGAGUUUUUCUUCGCGAACAUGAGACUACUAUCGUGAACGCGAUGAACAAAAUUUCACUGGCACAAAUUCCUCCUUCGCGAACGCGAGGGUCCUCUUGCUAACGCAUAGCUUACACUGGCGGACCCUUCGCGAACGCGUAGGCUUAAGGUCCACACCUUCGCGAAUGCGGGAGCAUCACUGCGAACGCGAAGUACAACUUAGCUGCCUCUCCCAGAUGCUCUACGCGAACGUGAUGAAGGAUUCUUCUGCAAUAAAACACCAGAAAAUCUGCCACUUCCGUAAGUCCAAAAAUGACCCAUUGAGCAUCAGAAACACACCCGAGGUCCCCAGGACCUUAACCAAACAUACCAAUCAAUCCUAAAAUAUCAUACGAACUUAGUCAAAACCCUCAAAUCACAUCGAACAAUGCUAAAACCACGAAUCACCAAUCCAAACUUAAUGAACUUGAAAUUUAAAAAUUCUACAAUCGAUACCGAAACCAACCAAACCACGUCCGAUUGAUUCUAAAUUUUGUACACAAGUCAUAUUCAACACUACGAACCUAUUUCAACUUUUGGAAUUAGAUUCCAACCCCGAUAUCAAAAUUUCCACUAUCGGCCCGAUGUUCCAAAAAUUUAACUUUCGCCAUUUUAAGCCUUAAUAAGCUACGGACCUCCAAAACACAAUCCGGACACGCCCCUAAGCCCAAAAUCAACCAACGGAGCUAAUGGAAUCGACGGAAUUCUAUUCUGGAGCCGUCUUCAUACUGCUCCGACUACGGUCCGAAUUCUAUGACUUAAACUCUCAUUUAGGGACUAAAUAUCCCAAAACACUGCGAAACUCAAGAUGAACCAUCCUGGCAAACCACAAUAGCAGGAAAAGACACAGGGAAAGCAAUUAAUAGGGUAUCGGGGCGUUAAUUCUCAAAAUGACCGGCCGAGCCGUUACAAUUUGGCACAUUUGCUCCAUCAACAACUCAUCCUUCAGCAUUUUUAAUAACAUUAUAAAUGACUUAUUGCUCAACGACCCAUACUUUUUAUGUGAAGCAGUUUAAUCAAACUGGAAAGCUUUGAAAUUUUCGAAUUUUGGUGUAGUGGCUUUUCGAAAUCUUUUAACAGGCUGUAAAACCUUUUGGCUUCAACAUUCAGUUCCUCAAGUAAAUCAUUAUAAUUAACGUCUAUAGUACCUCCAUCAUGAUUAGGAUAUAAAUUCCUCAGCAUUUCAUGUAUUUCAUCCUCAUCCACGUAAUCUUCUACUUUAUUAUCAUCUUCAACUUCGCAUUCCGACUGUGGCUCACCCAAAACUUCACCGUGAUGAUACCAAAAGGUAUAAUUUCGAAUUAUUCCAUAUACUUUUAAAUGUAUAUCGACUGUCACAUAUUCCUAAUAGUGUUAUAACAUUUGACACACGGAUAACAUAUUUCAUAAAAUUCUCCUGUUCUUCUAAAGGUAUAAUCCAAAAACUUUUGCACCCCAAUUAAAUAGGAUUCAUCAAGUCGGUUAUCAACAAGUUGCAUCCAUUGCUUACUUGGUGUCAUAACCUUGAAAGUAAAUUAAAAAAAAAGAUUUAAAUAAUUAAGAUAACAAAAGUAUUAAGAUGCACAUUACUUAAAAAAAGUACUAAGACGCACAUUACUUGUUAUCAAACUUGUUACACUCAUCUUUAUGACUAAACUUCCUACGAUUUCACAAGAAUGAAAUAAACUACAAGUUGAUAUGCAUAACAUAUAAUACACAAUUGCUUAAGAAAAUGUGAAAUUAAAACACAUAAGACACUUCAUAGCUAAAUCACUGAGUUUCUGUCUUAAAUGCUAGAUGUAUAGAAAGCUUGCAUUUCAGCAAGGAUAAGCUAGUUCGUACAACUAGAAGGCCAAAGAUAUGUGAUUUUUAUUUUAAUAGAUUGGUGCAUACUUGUUACUUCAGGUGCUUGAAACUUAAGAAAAGAAUAAGCAGAAAAAUUUCCAUAGUAUUCUAUUGGUUCAGAGUGAUGCAGUGGCAUAAGUUGAGGUUCAUGCUCUUAUGGGCUCUGUAAGUUAAGUGAAAACUUAAAAUGGUCUUCUGUGUAGAUUCAAACAUCAUAUGUCAUUGAAAAACUGAUGCUACCACACUGAUGUAGACCGCUUAUAAACUGGAGUAAUUUUCUAGUUAAACGAUCUUUUCAUCUAACAACCAUUGCAGCCUUCCACACUUAACGAGUAUUAAACAAUUACUAGCAUAUAAUGGAAGUUUUAAAAUGGUGAUUCAUGGUCUAUUUGCAAUAUCGUCUAAGAAUCCUUUGUAUUGCAUCAUCAGUUGUUGACUUAGCUUGAUGAGUGGGUCUAGUGUAUGUUUUCUGCUUUGUAAAGCUUUGCAAGAAUCUAAGAUACAACAGCUUAUUAAAGGCAUCCUCUGCAAUAAAUCUAGAAAUAGAUAGCUGAUUAUUGAAAUCAUUAUAUGUCAAAUGGUACUGUUUAACUAAAGCCAACAAAGAUAGCAGACUGUAACUUAUCACAACUUAAUGUAAACAAAAACAACUACUACCCUUCGUCACAACCAAAUUAGGAUCGACUAUUUAUAUCCUCACUAUCCAUCUCAUGCCAUUUAAGACCGUAUCAGUCCAAAAUGAUCACAACUUAAUAUACCACCCAUAGAUCUAUUAUUACAAGAGGCUCGAAUAUGUAUUAAUUCCGGAAUUGUGUAAUGCAAAUCGCAAAGGAGAAAACUAUCGCAGAGACGAAACUCUAGAAGAAAACUCAAAUUUCUCCUCCUUGACCUAUGAGCCCCAUCUUUAAACCAAUACUCUCAGUUUUAUCGCUCACACAAUAACUAUCAGUACUCUAAACAACCAAAUUGCAAAAAACAACUAAAGAAACAGAAAAUUGCAGAACCCGAUUUACGAUUUCUGGUUCAAUAAAAAAAAUGCAAGAUGAAAAAAAAUGAAAACGAAGCAGAUAAAAGAGAAAGAAAUUAAACUUACUCUUGAUAGGCAGAUAAUCCAAUAGUAGAGUUUGUGUAAAGUCCCUUGGAGAGAGAUCAAAAUUUUGACGCCAAAGUUCGGAGUGAUGAAUUUUGCAAGCUUCUGAAUUCUGACAGAUGAAUUUUGCAACCUUUGUGAACUUAGAAAAGAAUUGAAGUUGCUGCAUAAUUAGGGAUUGUAGCAUGAAAGUAAUAUUUUUGGAGAGAUUUUAGGAUGAAAGUGAAUGUCUAGCGAGAUUUCACAGUGAAUAUAUUUUAGGAGGGUUUUAUUUGCUUUACUUUCAGAUUUCCGCCCCU
rnacentral:lncRNA from 1 species